UACGGAGGGGGCUAGCGUUGUUCGGAAUUACUGGGCGUAAAGCGCGCGUAGGCGGACCUGCAAGUCGGGGGUGAAAGCCCGAGGCUCAACCUCGGAACUGCCUUCGAUACUGCGGGUCUCGAGUCCGGGAGAGGUGAGUGGAAUUCCUAGUGUAGAGGUGAAAUUCGUAGAUAUUAGGAAGAACACCAGUGGCGAAGGCGGCUCACUGGUCCGGUACUGACGCUGAGGUGCGAAAGCGUGGGGAGCAAACAGG
rnacentral:rRNA from 1 species